GGUGAGAUGGCCGAGCGGUCUAAGGCGCCAGAUUAAGGUAGUUUGAGCAUUGAGCUUGAGUACCUUCUGGUCAGAAAUGGCGUGGGUUCGAAUCCCACUCUCAUCA